rnacentral:rRNA from 1 species
GAUGAACGCUGGCGGCGUGCCUAAUACAUGCAAGUCGAGCGAACAGACGAGGAGCUUGCUCCUCUGACGUUAGCGGCGGACGGGUGAGUAACACGUGGAUAACCUACCUAUAAGACUGGGAUAACUUCGGGAAACCGGAGCUAAUACCGGAUAAUAUAUUGAACCGCAUGGUUCAAUAGUUAAAGACGGUUUUGCUGUCACUUAUAGAUGGUUCCGCGCCGCAUUAGCUAGUUGGUAAGGUAACGGCUUACCAAGGCGACGAUGCUGAGCCGACCUGGGAGGGUGAUCGGCCACACUGGAACUGAGACACGGUCCAGAAUCCUACGGGAGGCAGCAGUAGGGAAUCUUCCGCAAUGGGCGGAAGCCUGACGGAGCAACGCCGCGUGAGUGAUAAAGGUCUUCGGAUCGUAAAACUCUGUUAUUAGGGAAGAACAAAUGUGUAAGUAACUAUGCACGUCUUGACGGUACCUAAUCAGAAAGCCACGGCUAACUACGUG